rnacentral:lncRNA from 1 species
UUAAUGUUUGCAAAAUAAUGCAUUGUAACGCUUUAUAAAAGUUCAUGAGAAAAACUGCAAUAAAUCGAAUGUUCCCGUAAUUCUGGAAGCUAUUAAACUUGUAACAAUUAUGAUUCUUGUAAAUAUGUGAACCAGUGGCGGCAUUUUGCCUUUCGGGGAUAAAUUAUUUUAGAAAUUACAAAUCACAAUGUGUGGGUUAGUCGCACUAACCAGUGUUUUACUUAUUUUGCUUUUUGUCGAAUUACUCUGUCUUUAAGUUGAGGAAUAUCGUUUAUGUCUCCUCCUUGUACCAUGUAGACACAACAUUUCGAAGACAGUACUUAAAGGAUAGUGAUGUCAUGUGAUUUGUUUCUACUUUGACAAAUGGAGAAUAAAUAUACAUUAUUUGAAAAUGUAUUAAAGUAAGAAUGUUUAGUUAACAAACUUACAGUGAAAGAGGAAUGAGAUUUCAUGCACGUGCAUUUCUAAUAUAUUCGUUUAUCAUAUGCCUUGAAGUUGCAUUGAUGUAUAUGUACUUCAGGAUGAAGAAACAGAAAACUGGAAAUAAUGAUCAUACUGAUCGAACAUUGUUAAUACAAAAAAAUAACUUUUCAAAAGUUACAAAUAGCAUCUCGCAUAAUGUGUUAUAUUACACGAGUAAUAUAUUUGACAUUUCUGCUAAAGAAAGUAAAAUAACAACAGAUAAAAAAGUUAUUGUAUUUUUCAAUGUACCGGAAUACAUGCAAAGUAAUACGAGAAAGGAUACGCUGUAUAGAGACUGUGAAUAUAAAAAUUGUAUAAUUUCGUUUGAUAUAAAUAAAAUGUUAACGGCAGAUGCCGUCAUAUUUUACAUAGGAAUUAGAAAUAUGCGAAUGGGAAAACAUCCACCAAUAGAUCUGAAACAACGAAACCCAAAUCAGGCAUGGAUAUUUACCUCUGUGGAGCCUCCUGAACAUUUUUAUAAUACUGAUUAUCAGUCAGCAUCAGUGGCAUAAUACAAUGAACUGGUCUAGUCUAUACAGACUUGAUUCAGAUAUACCAAAUCCUUACGGUUGUUUAAUACGCUCUAUGUACCAUUAAUACGCAGGACUAUGUUUCAGCAUACAACACAAAAACAAGGAAUGCACUCUGGAUUGUGAGCCAUUGCCAGGUUUCUAGUGACCGAAGGCAAUAUGUUACAGAACUGAAAAGGAAGCGGAUUCGAUGUAGAUAUCAUAGGAGGCUGUAGUUCAGACGGAAGAAAAAUAAGUGUAGAAGAAUUUGAUCAGAUUGUUCCUACUUAUAAAUAUUAUUUAGCGUUUGAAAACUCGUUUUGUAAUGAUUACAUUUCGGAAAAGUUUUUUCAACAUUUCAAUUUAAGUUGGAUUAUUGUUGUAAGGGGAGGUGCAAAUUAUAAACGUUUACUUCCAAAAAAUACUUAUAUUAAUACAGCGGAUUUUACAAAUAUCUCGACUCUAGCGGACUACCUCUCAAAUCUUGGAAAUGAUAAAGAGAAAUAUAUUGAAUUUCUACGUAAUAAAGACAAAUAUGUGAGCAUCCGCUGGCAUGCCAACAGAAAUUGUGAAAUAUGCAGACGAUUAAAUAAUCUAUCAAAGUAUAGAAAAACAUAUACAUCACUUGAGGAAUAUCUUACUGGUGGCCAGUGUUUUAGACCAAAGGACUUAUAAGGACUUAUAAGUCGAGUUUGUAAAACACAAAUUGAAUAAAAGGUACGAUACAUGUAUUCGGAACAUACAAAUGUUUCCUAUCUGGAGAAAUAGAAACAAUUGAAACGUACAAACUUAGAUUAAUUUUAAUAUAUUCAACAACGUCGAAAGCAUCAACAUUUCUAGAACUACAUUAAAGUAACUAUUUGACUUUCUACAUUGCCUGUGCUUAAGGAAGUGUACACUUUUAAUGCAUUUAUAAAUGCCCUUUCGCAGACAAGCUUGUUAUGUAAUUGUUUUGAUUUGAACCUUUAUAUCUAUCAGAUACCUUUAAAAGCAACAAAGGUAAUCUAAUUAUCAUUGGCAACUACACUUUGAAGACAAUAUGCCCAAUUGUUCUAAAGAAAGUGAUUAAAAUUGUUUUUAAUCUCAAAGUUACAUUGAAUAUUACUCUUCUGAAUAAAAGGAAUCAUCCCGGGACUACUGGCAAUAAUUUAGUGAAACUAGAAAGCCCCAAUUGAUUGGAAACAUGUUUACAGUUUUAAGAUCGGAGCUGGGUACAGGGGACAAAUUUGCAUUUUACAAUUGCGUUUCUUAUAGCUGGAAUAAUAUAUAUUUGAAUUAUCUUAUGUUUUUCUAAAUACACACUUCAUCUGAAUAUUUGUUGAUAUCCCUGUAAAAUAUUGACAUAUGAACACACUGUUUGAUACUACUUAAGCUAAUAAAUCAUAACAACGA